ensembl:lncRNA
GUGAUCUUGACACAAAGACAAAGUAAAUGACUCAAUACUGAAACUUUAAUCAGUCAGUUGCAACUGAAGGCCCUAACCUUAGAGAUUUUAGCCAAUCAAGUGCAAGUGAAGUCUGAGACUUUAGCCAAUCAAUUGCGAGUGAAGUCUGAGACGUUAGCCAAUUAAGUGUGAGUAAAGUCUGAGACUUUACUCAAUCCAGUGCGAGUCAAGGCAGAGACUUUAGCCAAUCAAGUGUGAGUCAAGUCUGAGACGUUAGCCAGUCAAGUGCGAGUCAAGGCAAAGACUUUAGCCAAUCAAGUGCGAGUGAGGUCUGAGACUCUACCCAAUCAAUUGUGAGUCAAGUCUGAGACUUUAGCCAAUCAAGUGCGAGUCAAGGCAAAGACUUUAGCCAAUCAAGUGUGAGUAAAGUCUGAGACUUUACCCAAUCAAGUGCGAGUGAAUGCUGAGUCAAUUGUGAUUAAAAACUAAAAGUUGAACCAAUCAAGUGCGAGCUGAGAAUGAGACCUAACCCAAAUCAGUCAGGGCAGAGACUUCCACCAUUUGAGAUGGAGGCUUGAACCCAUAAAGUAUGAGUAAAGACCAAAAAAUUGGACCAAUCAAAAGACGGCAUUUAUAUAAUGCACAUUAUUUAUUAUGGAGAUCAGCCAGAUGCCCCCACAAGGUCAAAUAUUAGUUGCGUCAAGAGAUAUUUACCCUGAAACCUGCACACACACACACACACACACACACACACACACACACACACACGCACACACACACACACAGAAAGUCAGCGUUAUAACCCCUCUAUCCCGAUCAACGUGAAUCCAAUUUACAUAAGGUCAUAAGGUUUUAUAUCAGAAUGUGUGUGUGUAGGUGUGUGUGUGUGUGUGAGUGUUUAUUUAAUUGCUAUGACCCAGAAAGACCCAGUGACCUAAAUAGGUUAGUGUAACCAGGUUGAGCCAAAUUCUAUUCUGCCUAGUCACAAAACACACACAGUGCUAAUGCAAUACAAUGCAACACAGACACACAUGCACAAAAUCCAGACAGAGGUUUUUCAUGCAGGUUUUUUUCCCUCCACAACCAGCGGAUGGGCUGGGUAGCGUUGUUUGGCACAACACACACACACACACACACACACACACACACACACACACACAC